rnacentral:rRNA from 1 species
GACGAACGCUGGCGGCAGGCCUAACACAUGCAAGUCGAACGAGUGGCGGACGGGUGAGUAAUGUCUGGGAAACAGCCUGGUGGAGGGGGAUAACUACUGGAAACGGUAGCUAAUAACGCAUAUCCUCAGAUGUGCCCAGAUGGGAUGAGCUAGUGGGCGGGGUAACGGCUCACCAAGGCGACGAUCCCUAGCUGGUCUGAGAGGAUGACCAGCCACACUGGAGCUGAUGCACGGUCCAGACUCCUACGGGAGGCAGCAGUGGGGAAUAUUGCACAAUGGGCGCAAGCCUGAUGCAGCCAUGCCGCGUGUAUGAAGAAGGCCUUCGGGGUGUAAAGUACUUUCAGCGGGGAGGCGUUACCCGCAGAAGAAGCACCGGCUAACUCCGUGCCAGCAGCCGCGGUAAUAC